UUUCUCGCAUCAAGUGAUUCCGGUCUCCGGACUUCGAAUUUCUGAAACAGAAGUGGAUUCUCGCACAGUAAGUCGCGAGAUAUGCGCGAUAAAAAGCGGUACAAAGUGCAAGCUGCUCGGUCGGCUCAUAAAUAAGCCCCGCGGCUCGCACCUAGAGGGACGGGGCAUUGUCGCACAAAUUGCAUUUUUUUUACGGUUUAUUUCUCUGGAUUUCUAUGAAAUGAAAACUAAAAGAAUGCAAUAACUUUUUCGACGAAUAUGAAACAAAUUGAGAUAGAGCGAUUAUGAAAAGUAUAAUUUGUACAGACAAUGUACAUAACAACAUGUAAUAUUCGAUAAGCAGUGAUAAGGAGUUAUGUCACAAUUUAUCUUUCAAUUUGCAACAGUUCGAUAUAACACCUGCAGCCAUAAAGAUCUUCACGUCUAUUUCUUCUAAUAUAAAUGACUUUGAUU